GUGAAGGAAUCUACAGUAGCUCUGAAGGUAUCUACAGUAGCUCUGAAGGUAUCUACAGUAGCUCUGAAGGUAUCUACAGUAGCUAUGAAGGUAUCUACAGUAACUAUGAAUGUAUGAAGGUAUCUACAGUAGCUAUGAUGGUAUCUACAGUAGCUAUGAAGGUAUUUACAGUAGUUUUGAAGGUAUCUACAGUAACUAUGAAGGCAUCUACCGUAACUAUGAAGGUAUCUACAGUAGCUCUGACGGUAACUACAGUAACUAUGAAGGCAUCUACGGUAACUAUGAAGGUAUCUACAGUAGCUCUGACGGUAACUACAGUAACUAUGAAGGCAUCUACGGUAACUAUGAAGGUAUCUAUGGUAGCUAUAAAGGUACCUACAGUAGCUUCGUCCUCCCAAAUUUAACCUUGAUUCAUCUCUUUAAAGUCUAAUGAUUUUUCUUUUGUAUUAAUAUGGGAUAUAUUUAAAUAUUUAACAACAUGAUUAUUUAUUUCUGCGUGUAUUUAUUUACAAAUACAUUUAUAUUUCUAAAGUAGUUACAGUGCAACUUCUGCACACAGCACUUUUUAUCAUGAGUUUCACUAAAGUUUUGAUAACAUGACCUAUGACCUCUACCCCCUACCCCUUCUUACUGUGGUCAGUUUGUGAAUAGUGUUAACCCCCCAAAAAAAAAAAAAAAAACAACUAAACAAAUUGAUACAGGGUCAUCUUCUAUGUGCUAUAGUAUAGCAGCUACAUGUUAUUUGCAUGAAACCAUCAACAUCACAUACAUAGAUUUUGAAGUGUUGUACCUGAGCUAUUUGCAACCCGAUUUCACCCACGAUACAAUAUUUUCGAAGCUCGAGAGAUUGUGAACAUAAUGGAAAUGAAUUAUACUUCAAAGCUGGGAGAUGGGAAACAGAUGGGUGCGUGGACAGAACGAUCCCGAUCCCUUUACAUAGUGAAUAGAAUGAGGGAAACUGAAAACAAAGCUGUUUGUAGCGGAUAAGACAAGAAACGAGGUUUCUGAACAAGGAUUUGUACAUAUGAUGCAGUGCCUCUCUUUUCAAACGGUAUAUCUGCAGUCCCUCAGUUGCUUUGGAUCUACUUCAUCAUGUCCCAAAUGAUUCCAUAUUCCCUGUGUAGUGCACUACUUUUGACCAGCGUCCUAUGGGCUCUUGUUAAAAGUAGUGCACCUACAUAGGGACUAGGGUUCUAUUUUGUGACUCUGUCUUCAUCACGUGGCUGUUUUUGUCUAGCUAAUCGUCAUCUAUUUAUGUACACAGUAGGCUAAUAUACAGUGAGCUGCAAAACUAUUGGUACAGUGGACAUUUUGUUGGCUUCUGUUGUUGUUGUUGUUUAAGUUCUGUACUCCAGCACUUUGGAGUUGAAAUCAUAAAGUUCAUUUAUCCCAAUACUUUUGGUCCCCUAAAACGGAGGGACUAUGAACAAACAAAAAAAGUGCUGUAAUUUCUAAACUUUUCGCCCGAUAUGGAUGAAAAUACCCUCAUAUUAAAGCUGACAGUCCUGCACUUUGACCUCCUAGUCAUUGUAUCAUUUCACAUCCAAAGUGCUGGGAGUACAGAGCCAAAAAAACAACAAAACAAUUGUCGGAGAUCGAUAUGAGCGUAUAUGCACUUAAAGACAAUGAAUAUGAAUUUUCAUAUACCGUACACCUUUUUAUAACAUAUUAGCGAGUGAUAGUAUAUAGGAAGAUCCAUUUCUAUAGAAAUAUUCUACUGAUAUUUCAUUGUAGACAUUUUCUGUAUAAUAACCCGAUUGAAUCCAGCAAAUUACAUGGCGCUCACGUUCUCUUCAAUUGCUUCUUUUUUAGUUAAUCUCAUGUGAAGUUUAAUUAUUUUAGUUUUUUAGUCGCUGUUUGUUUUCCGUUCAACAGCACUCAUUGUGUACACGAUGGAUGUAUGCAUCAGUAUUGCAGCUACUGUACGUGAAUGAAUCGUGAUGAAUUGUAAAUGUAUGGGCUGUUUGUUUUGUAUCGAGCAAACAUUAGUCAUCGUAGUGGGUCCAGUCCAGACGACAGGGAAGCAGAAUGAUGACUGAGGAGCCUUUUUUGUGUUUUUUUUUUUUUACAAGUUGGUCAUCAGUUGUAUUGUGUAUUUACUAUGCUAUUACCCUGCUAUAUGUUUCACUCACAGUUGGAAGAGAACAGGACAGCUGUCAGUAUGUCCAGUAGUCACUACUCACAGUAGGAAGAGUACAGGACAGCUGUCAGUAUGCCCAGUAGUCACUACUCACAGUAGGAAGAGUACAGGACAGCUGUCAGUAUGCCCAGUAGUCACUACUCACAGUUGGAAGAGAACAGGACAGCUGUCAGUAUGUCCAGUAGUCACUACUCACAGUAGGAAGAGAACAGGACAGCUGUCAGUAUGCCCAGUAGU
ensembl:lncRNA